rnacentral:rRNA from 1 species
UUGGAAACGACGUCUAAUACUGGAUAUGACUACUGGCCGCAUGGUCUGGUGGUGGAAAGAUUUUUUGGUUGGGGAUGGACUCGCGGCCUAUCAGCUUGUUGGUGAGGUAAUGGCUCACCAAGGCGACGACGGGUAGCCGGCCUGAGAGGGUGACCGGCCACACUGGGACUGAGACACGGCCCAGACUCCUACGGGAGGCAGCAGUGGGGAAUAUUGCACAAUGGGCGAAAGCCUGAUGCAGCAACGCCGCGUGAGGGAUGACGGCCUUCGGGUUGUAAACCUCUUUUAGUAGGGAAGAAGCGAAAGUGACGGUACCUGCAGAAAAAGCACCGGCUAACUACGUGCCAGCAGCCGCGGUAAUACGUAGGGUGCAAGCGUUGUCCGGAAUUAUUGGGCGUAAAGAGCUCGUAGGCGGUUUGUCGCGUCUGCUGUGAAAUCCCGAGGCUCAACCUCGG